AGUGAACGCUGGCGGUAGGCCUAACACAUGCAAGUCGAACGGCAGCACAGUAAGAGCUUGCUCUUACGGGUGGCGAGUGGCGGACGGGUGAGGAAUACAUCGGAAUCUACUUUUUCGUGGGGGAUAACGUAGGGAAACUUACGCUAAUACCGCAUACGACCUACGGGUGAAAGCAGGGGAUCUUCGGACCUUGCGCGUUUGAAUGAGCCGAUGUCGGAUUAGCUAGUUGGCGGGGUAAAGGCCCACCAAGGCGACGAUCCGUAGCUGGUCUGAGAGGAUGAUCAGCCACACUGGAACUGAGACACGGUCCAGACUCCUACGGGAGGCAGCAGUGGGGAAUAUUGGACAAUGGGCGCAAGCCUGAUCCAGCAAUACCGCGUGAGUGAAGAAGGCCUUCGGGUUGUAAAGCCCUUUUGUUGGGAAAGAAAAGCAGCAGGUUAAUACCCCGCUGUUCUGACGGUACCCAAAGAAUAAGCACCGGCUAACUUCGUG
rnacentral:rRNA from 1 species